GAUUAACGCUAGCGGCAGGCCUAAUACAUGCAAGUCGAACGGGAUUUCGGGUAGCAAUAUCUGAAUGAGAGUGGCGCACGGGUGCGUAACACGUAUGCAAUCUGCCUCUGACUGGGGAAUAGCCUUCCGAAAGGAAGAUUAAUACCGCAUAAUAUAAUAGAGUAGCAUUACUUUGUUAUCAAACUACUGGUGGUCGAGAGAUGAGCAUGCGUCCGAUU
rnacentral:rRNA from 1 species